rnacentral:lncRNA from 1 species
GCAAUCCUCACCUCAUAAGCUAGCUUUUGGGGUUGAGUUAGGCCCAAGGUCCAUUCUAUACACUCUUCACCCAGAGACCGACAUCCAUCAUUAGGAAUCUAUAAAGAGUCGAAAGAGACUCUCCCCGAAUAACCUUGCAGUCCUUGCACAUACCCCUAUCGCUCCGUCAGAGGAGGAUGUAAUCAAUUUGAGUUCUCGCCGCCGAACUCUUGAAGGUGACCAAAUGCUCCUCCCUCUUCUGAAAUGUCGAGNNN